GGGCAUCCCUGGUAUACCACAUUGUGACUGUGUGCGCCACAUCCAGUCUCUCGUCAUAAGUAUCUUUAUCUUGUGUUCUUAUUGCUCAAUGCUGAAGAGCCAAUCAAAGGACAACGGAGGAUAUGUUACAUUGUGCAGCAAGAUGA